UGUUCGUCGUAGUCAAAUGCUCAGAUUCCUGUAGUGGCUUCUGAUGUACUACAGCUGUCUGAGCAUGUGCCACGGCGUCUG
rnacentral:pre_miRNA from 12 species